AGUUUGAUCCUGGCUCAGAAUCAACGCUGGCGGCGUGCCUCAGACAUGCAAGUCGAACGAGAAAGUCCCCUUCGGGGGAUAAGUAAAGUGGCGCACGGGUGAGUAACACGUAGGUAAUCUACCUUCGGGUGGGGAAUAACCCAGGGAAACUUGGGCUAACACCGCAUAAUGCAGCGGCACCACAUGGUGACAGUUGUUAAAGCGGGGGAUUUUCGAACCUCGCGCCUGAAGAGGAGCCUGCGGCGGAUUAGCUAGUUGGUAAGGUAACGGCUUACCAAGGUAACGAUCCGUAGCCGGCCUGAGAGGGCGGUCGGCCACACUGACACUGACAUACGGGUCAGACUCCUACGGGAGGCAGCAGUCGGGAAUUUUGGGCAAUGGGCGAAAGCCUGACCCAGCAACGCCGCGUGAAGGAUGAAAUCCCUCGGGAUGUAAACUUCGCAAGAAUGGGAAGAAUUAGUAGGGGUUAAUACCCCCUAUGAUGACGGUACCAUUUGUAAGCUCCGGCUAACUCCGUGCCAGCAGCCGCGGUAAUACGGGGGGAGCAAGCGUUGUUCGGAUUUACUGGGCGUAA
rnacentral:rRNA from 1 species